rnacentral:rRNA from 1 species
UCCCGGUUGAUCCUGCCGGAGGUCACUGCUAUCGGGGUUCGACUAAGCCAUGCGAGUCGAGAGGUGCAAGACCUCGGCGUACUGCUCAGUAACACGUGGAUAAUCUACCCUGAGGAGAGGGAUAACCCCGGGAAACUGGGGAUAAUACCUCAUAGGUUACGGAGGCUGGAAUGCCCUGUAACCCAAAGCUCCGGCGCCUCAGGAUGAGUCUGCGGCCGAUUAGGUUGUUGUUGGGGUAACGGCCCAACAAGCCGAUAAUCGGUACGGGUUGUGGGAGCAAAAGCCCGGAGAUGGAUUCUGAGACAUGAAUCCAGGCCCUACGGGGCGCAGCAGGCGCGAAAACUUUACAAUGCGAGCAAUCGGGAUAAGGGAACCCCGAGUGCCUGUACACGCAGGCUGUUCAGAUGUCUAAAACACAUCUGGAGAAAGGGCCGGGCAAGACCGGUGCCAGCCGCCGCGGUAAUACCGGCGGCUCGAGUGGUGGCCACUAUUACUGGGCUUAAAGCGUCCGUAGCUGGGUUGUUAAGUCUCCUGAGAAAUCUGCCGGCUUAACCGUCAGGCGUUCAGGAGAUACUGGCAAUCUCGGGACUGGGGGAGGUGAGAGGUACUCCGGGGGUAGGAGUGAAAUCCUGUAAUCCUCGGGGGACCACCUGUGGCGUAGGCGUCUCACCAGAACAGCUCCGACAGUGAGGGACGAAAGCUGGGGGAGCAAACCGGAUUAGAUACCCGGGUAGUCCCAGCUGUAAACGAUGCGCGUUAGGUGUGUCGGUAACCACGAGUUACCGAGGUGCCGUAGGGAAACUGCUAAACGCGCCGCCUGGGAAGUACGGUCGCAAGGCUGAAACUUAAAGGAAUUGGCGGGGGAGCACCACAACGGGUGGAGCCUGCGGUUUAAUUGGAUUCAACGCCGGGA